CCUUUCAGAGUCAUGCAGCUUCAGCAACAAUGUGUUUGUUCUCUCCAUGCCGAAAGCUGCCCAGCCAGAGGAGGCUGCAAGAGGGAGCAGCAGCGCACCCAGGGACAUCAUCAGGCCUGAAGCCUUCGUCCAGACAGGACCCCUGCUGGCCAGGAGAGCCCAGAGGGAUGCUCCUCCUCCAAAGAAGCUCCCCAAACCCCCUGUGGCCCCCCGGCCCAAACUGCUGCCCUCCCUGGGCCAGGGCAACGUGUCCCUUGUCAGUGCCAACGCCUGGGAUGAAAGGACCAAGAAGAAGAGAAAGAAAGGAGUCAGAGUCCAGAGGUCUAGCCUGGGCCUGAGACAUAUCCCCCGUGACCUAGAGCUGGCCAUGAUGAGGCCCCGUCUGGUCAAGUCGGCCGAUCCCUCCCAGCGUCCCUACCAGCCGUGGGACGACGAGGACGAGGUGGACAUCUACGCCCUGAGGCGCACAGCCUUCAUGUGCCCCAUGUACGACCAGGAGGAGAGCAGCGGCAGGGGCAACAAGAGGGUGGCAGUGGAGGCCCUGGACAACAUUCCUUUCAGAAGGAAGAUCACCUUGUGUUAUUUCAUGGGGGGGCGCAGGGUCAUGCUGCCAAAAGACUACUAACCCCACCCCCCUCAAUUUACACAACAACCCCCUUAGUCCCAGACAGCGAAGAACAGGACACACACAGAGAGACAGAGUGGACACCAACAGGGCCAUCAGAGGGACAGAGAUCCUCUCAGUUGAUGUUAGGAAUGUCAGCUACGAAAAGCUUCAAUAGACCAUCUCUGUAGCAAGAGAACCUCCAGUAAUCAGACUGGGCUGUCCUCUGUCUCCCCUCAUCUCUGAUACAUCAGACUGGGCUGUCCUCUGUCUCCCCUCAUCUCUGAUACAUCAGACUGGGCUGUUCUCUGUCUCCCCUCAUCUCUGAUACACCAGACUGGGCUGUCCUCUGUCUCCCCUCACCUGUACUCCCCCAAGAGGAACACUGCUCCCUGCCUCCGCUCCCCUUCUCCUCUACUCCCCCAAGAGGACUACAGUCUCUCUCUUAUCUCUAAAUCAGUGUUGGGGUCAAUUCAAUGUCAAUACUGUCAAUUCAGGAAGUAAACUGACAUUUUCUCAUAGAGAGGCAUUGAGGAAAAUUGGAAUUGGACUUUCAGUUUACUUCCUGAUUUGUAAAGGAAUUGACCCCAACCCUAAUCUUGUCAUGCACUGACCUGAGAGAGACGGUUUAUUUCUCUAUUUUGUUAGGUCAGGGUGUGGGGUGGGCAUUCUAUGUCAUUAUAUUUCUAUGUAUUGGCCAGGUAUGUUUUCCAAUCAGAGGCAGCUGUCUAUCGUUGUCUCUGAUUGGGAACCAUACUUAGGCAGCUUUUUCCCACCUGUGUUUGUGGGUAGUUGUUUUCUGU
rnacentral:lncRNA from 1 species